CAGGUGGAUUGGAAGAAGGCUAUGAGGUGAUAUUAUUUGCAGAUCAAAACUACAGCUGCGCCGUCAUUAAUUUGACAAUAACUUUGCCCGUAGAUGUUCCCUUCUUUUGGUUGGAACUGCGCGUAAAAAAUUCGUCGAUUCAGACCGGACCGAGUCAGGAGUGCCAAAAUUACUACAAGACGGUAGCUCCAGUGUCGCGUCGAAUGUAUAACCACACUUGCCAAAGGAUACUUGAAGAACCUAUUGUGUCUAGAGCUCGCCUUGUAUCUUAUUUCACCAAGAAUGUUUAAGUGCUGCACUGGCGAACGUUUUUGACACUGCAGAAGUCCAUGCAACUUGCAAAUUAAAGGGAAUUUUGAAGUGGCAUGCAUUUAUCAUUCUGAUUUGAGCGAUGUCGGCGAUCCAGCAGAGGGCCCAUGUCAAGUCGUUCUCACGGCUGUUAGCCCUAGGGGCCUUUGAGUUAUUUUCUGGGAAAUAAAAUUGGACUUCGUUUGAUUGUG